rnacentral:rRNA from 1 species
AGAGCGAACGCUGGCGGCAGGCUUAACACAUGCAAGUCGAGCGCCCCGCAAGGGGAGCGGCAGACGGGAGAGUAACACGUGGGAACGUACCUUUCGGUUCGGAACAACCCAGGGAAACUUGGGCUAAUACCGGAUACGUCCGUAAGGAGAAAGAUUUAUCGCCGAAAGAUCGGCCCGCGUCUGAUUAGCUAGUUGGUGAGGUAACGGCUCACCAAGGCGACGAUCAGUAGCUGGUCUGAGAGGAUGAUCAGCCUCACUGGGACUGAGACACGGCCCAGACUCCUACGGGAGGCAGCAAUGGGGAAUAUUGGACAAUGGGCGCAAGCCUGAUCCAGCCAUGCCGCGUGGGUGAUGAAGGCCCUAGGGUUGUAAAGCCCUUUCGGCGGGGAAGAUAAUGACGGUACCCGCAGAAGAAGCCCCGGCUAACUUCGUGCCAGCAGCCGC